rnacentral:lncRNA from 1 species
CACAGCAUCCCCGCUGACGCCCGGAAACGUAAUAAUAAACGGAGAUUGCCGUAGUUGCAAUGUGCACGGGGGCUAACGUAGAGAAGAUCGUGGUGAUGCAGUGGCUAUACUGGCCAAGAGAAUAGAUAAAUAAACUGCACCAGAAAUGUAUUUCGUUCAUUUUAUUUUAUUUUUGAAUGUUUAUUGAAUGUUAUUGCCAUUUACCUAGGACCUAGUCGCCUCGUAUGUUGCAAACUUUGCAGUCCCCGUUGAUGAUCACGUUGCCAGGACUCAGGGGGUUGGCUAGAAACAAAAAAAUAACCUAUGUUAGUGGAGACUUGCCUCUUGACUUUAGAGCAGAGUCUCCAACUCACCACUAGCCAGGGCACAAAGGCCCAGAACGAAAGCAAUCGACAGCCACUUCAUGAUUUAAAUGAUUUGGGUACUUGGCAGCAGCUAAUCUGUCGACCGGCUCGAGCAGGUCUCUUUUCUAACCUCAUCUGGUGCUACAGCAAUUGCGCAUUUUCGAUUCAUGUAUUUAGUUAGUGCAAUCUAAGCUGUAGCUGAGGCCAUUGCGUCUUGAUUUGAUUCUGAUUAUAUUUGAUUAUUCGCUGCCGGAGAACCCGAAACGAUCUGUUGAACAUAUUGAAACUGUUCAUAUGCAUUUGCUACACUGUGCUGCAAGUAUUUAUUAGAAUUUGAACAGAACAUGCAGCUGAUACCUGAUACAUGGAACUGUCUAAGAGGUAAUUAAAAAGCUAGAGCCGCCUGCCCACGCUACUUUAAAUAUAUAAAUAUAUACAUUCACACAUGUGUACGUACAUACAUAUAAUGUGUAUACUUAUAUUUGAGUACUCAUCAGAGACAGGGAAACCAAAUCCCUAAGCUCCUGCAACUGCAUAAAGUAAAGCUUAAAAUGGCUUUGCCCCUUUCCAAAUAAACAUUGACUAUUUACGAAAGUUGAGUUUGUUUAAGUUUCGAAACUCCUGGAAGGACUCUCUCUGAGAGCUCAAACUGAACUGGUUCAAUGGUAUGUGCGUUCGACUCCGCAGAAGGCACACACUCGUAAAUGAACGUGUCUGCGGUUGAAUUAACUUUUCCCCCAAAAGUUCCUGUCUGUACGAGUGGGUUGGCGCACAUUGUUGGCAAUUAAGCGAAUGAUUCACAAAAAGGGCAGCACCGAGGCCGAGGCUUCUGAUACUCUAGCAGGUCUAUAUCUAUCCGAAAUAUUCUUAUCCUUAUCCUUUGCGAUGUUAGUUUGCAAAAAAUAUGUUUACCCAAUUCAAUAGCAUAAAACAACGAACCAAGGGCACCAUGUAAAAAGCAUUUUGAGUGGUGUGGGUGGGUUUUGGGGAGAUUGCUACAGAGUCAGAUUGGGACACCGAAAGGGUUUAACUCUCUCAUCCAGCUCGAAGCUCCAGUACCAGCUCCAGCACCAGCUCCAGCACCAGCUCCAGCACCAGCUCCAGCUGGAUUACCGAACUGUGCAUUUGUGUGCGAGGGAGAGCGGCUUAUGCUGCACAAGCGUGUUGUUUCUUUGGGAACAUUCGUGAGCGUAAAAAGCAUUACGGUUAAAUG